GCUGGGCACAGUGGCUCACACCUGUAAUCCCAGCAGCUUGGGAGGCUGAGGCAGGAGGAUCACAGAUUCAAGGCCAACCUCAGGAACUUAGUGAGACCCUGCCUCAA
rnacentral:sRNA from 1 species